CGGCAACAGCUCAAAUUUGAAAUCUGGCUCCUUCGGGGCCCGAGUUGUAAUUUGCAGAGGAUGCGUCGGGUACGGGUGCCUUCCGAGUUCCCUGGAACGGGACGCCAUAGAGGGUGAGAGCCCCGUCUGGUAGGACACCCAGCCCGUGUGACGCUCCCUCGAC
rnacentral:rRNA from 1 species